UACGUAGGGUGCGAGCGUGUCCGGAAUUACUGGGCGUAAAGAGCUCGUAGGCGGUUUGUCGCGUUGUCCGUGAAAACUCACAGCUUAACUGUGGGCGUGCGGGCGAUACGGGCAGACUGGAGUACUGCAGGGGAGACUGGAAUUCCUGGUGUAGCGGUGGAAUGCGCAGAUAUCAGGAGGAACACCGAUGGCGAAGGCAGCUGCCUGGCCUAACACUGACGCUGAGGUGCGAAAGGCGUGGGGAGCGAACGGG
rnacentral:rRNA from 1 species